AACGAACGCUGGCGGCAGGCUUAACACAUGCAAGUCGAGCGCACCCACCGGGGUGUGCGGCAGCCGAGUGUGUAACGCGUGGGAAUCUUCCUUUUGCUACGGAAUAGCUCCGGGAAACUGGUAUUAAUACCGAAUGUGCCCUAAGGGGGAAUGAUUUAUCGACAAGCGAUGAGCCGGCGUUGGAUUAGCUAGUGGUUGCGGUAAUGGCCUACCACGGCGAGGAUCCAUAGCUGGUUUGAGAGGAUGAUCAGCCACAUUGGGACUGAGACACGGCCCAAACUCCUACGGGAUGCAGCAGUGGGGAAUAUUGGACAAUGGGCGCAAGCCUGAUCCAGCCAUGCCGCGUGAGUGAUGAAGGCCGUAGGGUUGUAAAGCUCUUUCACCGGAGAAGAUAAUGACGGUAUCCGGAGAAGAAGCCACGGCUAACUUCGUG
rnacentral:rRNA from 1 species